AUGAGUAUAAUUAAAUGAUAAUACUAGGCCGUGACUCUAGAAUCGAAAGUUAAAACCCUUCUACUCAUC
rnacentral:tRNA from 1 species